AUGUGAAGAUGGGUAUUGACGUGCUGGACUGGCAUGUGCCUGAGAACUGCCUUCAGUAACAGUUCAUGAUGUGCCUGUCUUGCCACUGAAUGUUUUACUUGGCCUUUCCGUAUCAUGUAAGGCAAUAGCUGGAUUGAAAGGACAGAAAUUUAUAGGGCUAAUCUGGGAGAGGUAAAAAGCCCUGCAACAUCCAUGGAUUUCAAAGACAAUCUUAAAUAGAGAAUUACAGGGGGGCCUACAGGAAAGCUGGAGAGGGACUUUUUAAAGGGCAGGUAGUGACACGACAAGAGGAAAUGGCUUUAAACUUGAAGGUGGAAGAUUUAGACUAGAUACUAGGAAGAAAUUCUUUACUGUGAGGGUGGCAAGACACUGGAACAGGUUGCUCAGAGAGGUUGUGGAUGCUCCCUCCCUGGAGGCAUUCAAGGCCAGGCUGGAUGGGGCUUUGAGCAGCUUGGUCUAGAGGGAGGUGUCCCUGCCUAUAGCAGGGGGGUUGGAACUAGGUGAUCUUAAAGGUCCCUUCCAACCCAAACCAGUCUAUGAUUCUAUGAUUCUGUGAUUUUUCCUGAUGUGAUCCUGCUGUGCCACGGCUACAGGAGCACAGACAGUGUUGUGAACCCUCUGGUCUUUCUAAUGUCACAUGGGAGUAAAGGAACAGCUGCAGGAACUGGUACAGACUUCAUGUGGCAGAGCGGACAACUGAGGCUGAGCAGAGGUGCAGACAUUAAAUAUUGACAGGCAGUGUCUCUUGACAAUUUUACCUGCUUUCUCUUGGGUUUUCUUCUCUUUUCCUGUAAUCUUCCCUAAAGCCAGAAACCUUGUGAAAUGCAAUCUUUUUUUUUUUUUUUUUAAAUAAUUUUAUCUAGCAGAAACAGAACUGACUUUUGGCAGAAAGAAACCGGAGAGCUGUUAAGGAAUAGACGGAUAGGAGCAGUAAAUAAGGUCAGCAUUUGUUUCUGUACUCUGCUACACAGAAAAGGAGUGCACCAAGGAACGCUGGUGAGACCUGGCCAUUCUAGAUCCAGCGGGUUGGAGCAUGAGCAGAAAGGCUGCUGGCGGGUCCUCAGCACUGCAUGUCAUUAG
rnacentral:lncRNA from 1 species